UUUGCUGGUUUUGUCGGUGACAGUAUUUUUCGCAUCGGCGGCGUGGAAUGGAAACAACAUCGCAAAGCAAUGGGACCCACCAUGCAUCCGGAUGUAAUUGCUCCAUAUACAGAUGAUAUGAGAAAAUGCGCGGAUGUCCUUGCGGAAAAAUGGCUGGCAAAAGUUGGAACCACGUUUGAUAUAACAUAUGAUAUAGCUAAAUGCAUUAUUGAGAUGUUUGUUAAAGCUGCAUUUGACGUUGAAGUAGACGUACAAACUAAAGGCGCUGAAUUAAACACCAAUGCAGAGACUUUUUUGGAGUUGACUAUGUACAGAGUUAUUUCACUAAUAAAACAUCCAGAUUUCUUGUAUAAAUGGACCAAAGAUUAUAGAACCCAACAAAAAGCAUUAAAUUAUGCCCUUGAAUUCGGC